rnacentral:rRNA from 1 species
UACAGAGGUCCCAAGCGUUGUUCGGAUUCAUUGGGCGUAAAGGGUGCGUAGGUGGCGCCGUAAGUGGGGUGUGAAAUUUCGGAGCUUAACUCCGAAACUGCAUUCCAUACUGCGGUGCUUGAGGACUGGAGAGGAGACUGGAAUUUACGGUGUAGCAGUGAAAUGCGUAGAGAUCGUAAGGAAGACCAGUGGCGAAGGCGGGUCUCUGGACAGUUCCUGACACUGGAGGCACGAAGGCCAGGGGAGCAAACGGG